rnacentral:rRNA from 1 species
ACGGCUCAGUAACACGUGGAUAACCUGCCCAAGGGUCUGGGAUAACCCCGGGAAACUGGGGAUAAUACCGGAUGGAUCACUAGUGCUGGAAUGCUUGGUGGUCGAAAGGUAACGCCUUUGGAUGGGUCUGCGGCGGAUUAGGUUGACGCCGGUGUAACGUACCGGCGUGCCUGUAAUCCGUACGGGUUGUGGGAGCAAGAGCCCGGAGAUGGAUUCUGAGACACGAAUCCAGGCCCUACGGGGCGCAGCAGGCGCGAAAACUCUACAAUGCAGGCAACUGCGAUAGGGGGACAUCGAGUGGCAUCCACCUUGGGUGCCUGUCCAACCGUCUAAAAAACGGUUGUUAGCAAGGGCCGGGUAAGACCGGUGCCAGCCGCCGCGGUAAUACCGGCGGCUCGAGUGGUGGCCGAUAUUAUUGAGUCUAAAGGGUCCGUAGCCGGCUUUGCAAGUCUCUCGGGAAAUCCAGCGGCUUAACCGUUGGUCGUCCGGGGGGUACUACAUUGCUUGGGACUGGGAGAGGCGAGAGGUACUCAGGGGGUAGGAGUGAAAUCCUGUAAUCCUCUGGGGACCACCGGUGGCGAAGGCGUCUCGCCAGAACAGGUCCGACGGUGAGGGACGAAAGCUAGGGGCACGAACCGGAUUAGAUACCCGGGUAGUCCUAGCCGUAAACGAUGCUCGCUAGGUGUCACAACAGUCGUGAACUGUUGUGGUGCCGUAGGGAAGCCGUGAAGCGAGCCACUUGGGAAGUACGACCGCAAGGUUGAAACUUAAAGGAAUUGGCGGGGGAGCAC